rnacentral:rRNA from 1 species
UGUUCGCCCAUUAAAGCGGUACGCGAGCUGGGUUCAGAACGUCGUGAGACAGUUCGGUCCCUAUCCGUCGUGGGCGUAGGAAAUUUGAGAGGAGCUGUCCUUAGUACGAGAGGACCGGGAUGGACAUACCUCUGGUGUACCAGUUGUCGUGCCAACGGCAUAGCUGGGUAGCUAUGUAUGGACGGGAUAAGUGCUGAAAGCAUCUAAGCAUGAAGCCCCCCCUCAAGAUGAGAUUUCCCAAC